rnacentral:rRNA from 1 species
GAUGAACGCUGGCGGCGUGCCUAAUACAUGCAAGUCGAGCGAACAGACGAGGAGCUUGCUCCUCUGACGUUAGCGGCGGACGGGUGAGUAACACGUGGAUCACCUACCUCUAAGACUGGGAUAACUUCGGGAAACCGGAGCUAAUACUGGAUCAUAUAUUGAACCGCAUGGUUCAAUAGUGAAAGACGGUUUUGCUGUCACUUAUAGAUGGAUCCGCGCCGCAUUAGCUAGUUGGUAAGGUAACUUCUUACCAAGGCAACGAUGCGUAGCCGACCUGAGAGGGUGAUCGGCCACACUGGAACUGAGACACGGUCCAGACUCCUACGGGAGGCAGCAGUAGGGAAUCUUCCGCAAUGGGCGAAAGCCUGACGGAGCAACGCCGCGUGAGUGAUGAAGGUCUUCGGAUCGUAAAACUCUGUUAUUAGGGAAGAACAAAUGUGUAAGUAACUAUGCACGUCUUGACGGUACCUAAUCAGAAAGCCACGGCUAACUACGUG